rnacentral:sRNA from 1 species
UGGUGAGAUGUCGAUGCCAUCAGAAGUUGGGCCCGGCAUCGUUGCUUCCAUCCCCUAACCCACAGGGCACAAAGAAGAAGGUCUGCCUGGCAGUCAGGCAGUUCGCAGCGAAGCUCAUAUCAAACAGUAGCAAACACGACACCAACACGACUAAAACCAAAUUCGAGACGGUCGAACGCUUGUGAGUAAAGAAAACGAAGAAAAUCCUCCAACGGAUAAAACAUUGGAUAAACAUCGCACUUAUAAGAAAAUCAAGCGCGUAGAUUGAACACAAACACAUAGAUAAACAUCUACAUGGCCGCUACAAAUCGAAUACAAGAAACGGAAACGGAUAUCGCCAAAGAAAUCCACCAGCGAACACACACAUACCAACUCACAAUACACAAUUAAUACAAAUGGUGUCGUAUUCGCCAACAUUUUGUGUUUUGACCGUUCAAAAUCCAUCUUAAAAUUUUCCAACAAUAGGGUCGUUAAGGCCUUCAUUGUCAAACGCUGAGUUUUUUUCGAAGCAAAAAAGAAAAAAAAAUAUAAAGAAAAGAAAGACCAAUUCAAAACAUUGUGCCAACAAUAAACGUUUAAUUUAUGUAGAAGCGUAAAUCCCAAACGAAAAAGUUUACAAACUCUUCAACAAACAGUAAAACAUCAAGUGCCUGUGUGUUUGUAACUACAGGGCAAGAGAUAGUGCAAAAGUGUCCAAGCAAAUAAACAAAUAUUAUCAGACAGAAAGUGAGAAAUCCAUAAA